CCCGAGCAACCUUCCUUCUUUGGCGCAACGAGUGUACACAUUAACAACGAGCUAUACACGCUCGUGUUUUGAACAUCGUGCGCCCGAUAUUGUUGUUCCUACUCUCACGACCGUUCCCUUCCGUCCUCGCUUUCCCGACCACUUGCCACAACUGAACGUUGCUCACGCUCUUGCCUUCUUUUUUCUCGAAAUGUCACCUUCACGCCCGGAUUCGUAAUCCGUCGUAUGCCGAUGCCGCAGUUAUUUAUCGCCAGCGACGGAUGCCUUUUGCACGCCUUAUGCGGCGUCCAACGCGCUUUUUUCUUAUAUUUACCUCGCCUCGCGAUAGUGCGAGUUUCCAAGGUGAGUUUGAGGGGGUGUAACGUAACUGUGGAUUUAUAAGGCUUUGAGUUUUCUCGACUCGAAGAAAAGUUUAAACGAUUCGCCGUUUGAAAGAUAAUUUCGAAGGACAAUUUCGUUCAGGAACGAAUUCGAUCAGGAAAGAAUUCGAAGGAUCGAAGAAAAAAGGACGAGAUUUUGGAUUUAAUUCAAGCAAGAAUUAUGAUACGAAAUACGAUAAUAUUAUUCGUACAUUUAUCGUACGGAAUAUUCUUCGAGAAAAUAUGUUACAGAGUGGAUUAUUUUCUGGUACGUAAACACGAGUCAAGGAGAAAUAUACGUUACGAAGAAAAGGAAGAAAUCGAUCGAGCGUGAAAAAAGUAUUAAUUUAAAGGAUUCCGAUUAAUACCGAUUCUUCUAUUUGAUCAAAUUUUAAAAAUUGCGAAUACUACGAUAAUUUUAGAAUUCGAUUCAUUUGUGUGUUCAUUUUUCACGAUAUUAUCAGUAUUGAAAUUUCUAUAGCAUCAAACUAUCGAGAUGCUCUAUCUGAAAGAUGCUAUUGAAAAUCUUGUUGGUAGAAAUAUCUAGCUUUCUCUACAAGAAAAAAGAUAUUAAAUAAACAUGAAAAAAUUAAAUAUACGGUAUUAUUAACCAGGAGAAGAAACGGAUCAGAAAUGAGCGAGACGAAAAAAAUGAUUGCAAGAAAGCGGAAAGUAUGUAUUUUUCCAGUUUUCCACGCACGAAUCUCACCUGGUUCACGAAAUUGUCCGGAUUCUAUUAUUUUUUCCAAGUCGACAGAUCGCUCUUUCGAUGAGCAGUGAUCGUAGGGGGAUCCUAGAUCCGCCCCUGCGAUACCUCUUCUCGAAACGCAGCACAACAUCGAAGAGCAUGGAGACACAUCGACUGAGCCUCUCCAUCGCCACGAGGCUGUUCUUGUACGCAACGUCUACGCACGAUCUCGUUCUCUUCUCUUGUUAAAUGAGGUUUAUUUUAGGUGUCACUACGAGAGCAUCAGGAGCGCUCGCUCCUUCCUUUUAAUAGCGAUGGGAUUGAGACUCUCGCACGAUGAAGGGAACUAAGUACUUGAAUCUAAUUUCUUGACCAGUGUUUCCCAACCUUUUUCCAACACUUUUAUAUGACACUCGAAUAUUUUGCGAUUCUUUUCUCUCCUCACAGUUACGUAAGAAUGUUAUAAUAAGUAAAACAAAUAUAUUUUAUCUUUGUUUAAGAUUUAUUUAAAAUAAUUAAAAAUAAUAAAAAAUCCAAAUAAGAAUUCACUAUAGAGAUGUUCAAAUUUUAUUAAAAAAAAAAAAAAAAAUUUUCUAUGAUUUAAAAGAUUUUGAAUAUAAUCAAUUGAAUAAUGAUAUAUUAUUCGAUAUAUAGUUGAUGAAGAUAGUUCGAUAAUCUUUAAACGAGAAGAAAAAUUGCUACCUAAUAGAAGUUUACUUGUAAAAAAAUAUCGACUAGCGAUUCAAGUUCGUGUUUUUAAUAUUAUUUUACGAGUUCUUACGUUUCCGAUAAAGAUUAUAAUUACCGAUAAACUACGAUGUAGAUCAUGAAUAAGUAUAAUGAUUUAAUAUGUCGAUGUUGUGUGUGCGUUUCGUCACAGAUAUUUGAUCAAUACUGUAAAGAAUACGGUAAAUUCAAUGUAAUAAUAAUUAAAUAAUAAUAUAUCAUAUAAAUCAUUAUUAAUU